rnacentral:rRNA from 1 species
AUACGGAGGAUCCGAGCGUUAUCCGGAUUUAUUGGGUUUAAAGGGUGCGCAGGCGGGAGAUUAAGUCGGCGGUGAAAUUUUGCAGCUCAACCGUAAAAGUGCCUUCGAAACUGGUUUCCUUGAGUGUAGAUGAAGUAGGCGGAAUUUGUGGUGUAGCGGUGAAAUGCAUAGAUAUCACGAGGAACUCCGAUUGCGCAGGCAGCUUACUAAACUACUACUGACGCUCAGGCACGAAGGCGUGGGGAUCAAACAGGAUUAGAUACCCUGGUAGUCCACGCAGUAAACGAUGAUUACUAGCUGUUUGCGAUACAAUGUAAGCGGCUGAGCGAAAGCGUUAAGUAAUCCACCUGGGGAGUACGUUCGCAAGAAUGAAACUCAAAUGAAUUGACGGGG